rnacentral:rRNA from 1 species
AUAGCUGGUUCUCUCCGAAAUAGCUUUAGGGCUAGCCUCAAGUGAUGAUUAUUGGAGGUAGAGCACUGUUUGGACGAGGGGCCCCUCUCGGGUUACCGAAUUCAGACAAACUCCGAAUGCCAAUUAAUUUAACUUGGGAGUCAGAACAUGGGUGAUAAGGUCCGUGUUCGAAAGGGAAACAGCCCAGACCACCAGCUAAGGUCCCAAAAUAUAUGUUAAGUGGAAAAGGAUGUGGCGUUGCCCAGACAACUAGGAUGUUGGCUUAGAAGCAGCCAUCAUUUAAAGAGUGCGUAAUAGCUCACUAGUCGAGUGACACUGCGCCGAAAAUGUACCGGGGCUAAACAUAUUACCGAAGCUGUGGAUUGUCCUUUGGACAAUGGUAGGAGAGCGUUCUAAGGGCGUUGAAGCAUGAUCGUAAGGACAUGUGGAGCGCUUAGAAGUGAGAAUGCCGGUGUGAGUAGCGAAAGACGGGUGAGAAUCCCGUCCACCGAUUGACUAAGGUUUCCAGAGGAAGGCUCGUCCGCUCUGGGUUAGUCGGGUCCUAAGCUGAGGCCGACAGGCGUAGGCGAUGGAUAACAGGUUGAUAUUCCUGUACCACCUAUAAUCGUUUUAAUCGAUGGGGGGACGCAGUAGGAUAGGCGAAGCGUGCGAUUGGAUUGCACGUCUAAGCAGUAAGGCUGAGUAUUAGGCAAAUCCGGUACUCGUUAAGGCUGAGCUGUGAUGGGGAGAAGACAUUGUGUCUUCGAGUCGUUGAUUUCACACUGCCGAGAAAAGCCUCUAGAUAGAAAAUAGGUGCCCGUACCGCAAACCGACACAGGUAGUCAAGAUGAGAAUUCUAAGGUGAGCGAGCGAACUCUCGUUAAGGAACUCGGCAAAAUGACCCCGUAACUUCGGGAGAAGGGGUGCUCUUUAGGGUUAACGCCCAGAAGAGCCGCAGUGAAUAGGCCCAAGCGACUGUUUAUCAAAAACACAGGUCUCUGCUAAACCGUAAGGUGAUGUAUAGGGGCUGACGCCUGCCCGGUGCUGGAAGGUUAAGAGGAGUGGUUAGCUUCUGCGAAGCUACGAAUCGAAGCCCCAGUAAACGGCGGCCGUAACUAUAACGGUCCUAAGGUAGCGAAAUUCCUUGUCGGGUAAGUUCCGACCCGCACGAAAGGCGUAACGAUUUGGGCACUGUCUCAACGAGAGACUCGGUGAAAUCAUAGUACCUGUGAAGAUGCAGGUUACCCGCGACAGGACGGAAAGACCCCGUGGAGCUUUACUGUAGCCUGAUAUUGAAAUUCGGCACAGCUUGUACAGGAUAGGUAGGAGCCUUUGAAACGUGAGCGCUAGCUUACGUGGAGGCGCUGGUGGGAUACUACCCUAGCUGUGUUGGCUUUCUAACCCGCACCACUUAUCGUGGUGGGAGACAGUGUCAGGCGGGCAGUUUGACUGGGGCGGUCGCCUCCUAAAAGGUAACGGAGGCGCUCAAAGGUUCCCUCAGAAUGGUUGGAAAUCAUUCAUAGAGUGUAAAGGCAUAAGGGAGCUUGACUGCGAGACCUACAAGUCGAGCAGGGUCGAAAGACGGACUUAGUGAUCCGGUGGUUCCGCAUGGAAGGGCCAUCGCUCAACGGAUAAAAGCUACCCCGGGGAUAACAGGCUUAUCUCCCCCAAGAGUUCACAUCGACGGGGAGGUUUGGCACCUCGAUGUCGGCUCAUCGCAUCCUGGGGCUGUAGUCGGUCCCAAGGGUUGGGCUGUUCGCCCAUUAAAGCGGUACGCGAGCUGGGUUCAGAACGUCGUGAGACAGUUCGGUCCCUAUCCGUCGUGGGCGUAGGAAAUUUGAGAGGAGCUGUCCUUAGUACGAGAGGACCGGGAUGGACAUACCUCUGGUGUACCAGUUGUCGUGCCAACGGCAUAGCUGGGUAGCUAUGUGUGGACGGGAUAAGUGCUGAAAGCAUCUAAGCAUGAAGCCCCCCUCAAGAUGAGAUUUCCCAACUUCGGUUAUAAGAUCCCUCAAAGAUGAUGAGGUUAAUAGGUUCGAGGUGGAAGCAUGGUGACAUGUGGAGCUGACGAAUACUAAUCGAUCGAAGACUUAAUCAAAA